UACGUAGGGCGCAAGCGUUGUCCGGAAUUAUUGGGCGUAAAGAGCUCGUAGGCGGUUUGUCGCGUCGAAUGUGAAAACCCGGGGCUCAACCCCGGGCCUGCAUUCGAUACGGGCAGACUAGAGUUCGGUAGGGGAGUCUGGAAUUCCUGGUGUAGCGGUGAAAUGCGCAGAUAUCAGGAGGAACACCGGUGGCGAAGGCGGGACUCUGGGCCGAUACUGACGCUGAGGAGCGAAAGUGUGGGGAGCGAACAGG
rnacentral:rRNA from 1 species